ensembl:lncRNA
CGAUGAAGUAAAACCUGACAGUCUGACUCUGUGGAAUGACGCACUCGAGAUAUGUAUCUUGCAUGGAGAGAAUGAUUGACUGCUGUAUGGAGAAAGAUGACAGACAGCGCAGAUCGCAGGACGGAGCUGAUAUUUCACAACUACAGAAUUCACUUCAGAAGAUAACCAUAUCUAAGGGGAAAGCUCCCAAAAAACCUGGGCGGGUGUUCAGACCAAUCACAACCAAAUCUCUGCUAACAAACUCAGACUCUGAUGACAGCUCUACUAGAAUUGGAUUGACGUCAUUAAAAAUCAAAAAGGAAAUAAUCCCAACAGCUCGGUAACCUAUUUCAAAAUGUAAUUCUGCUUGAUUAGAAAGCAGAAUUUAUAACCAUCUUAGUUUGUCUCUUUUGCAGCAGGAAAUAGAGCGCUGGAUUCCACAUCUGUGACUGGAGCUAGAGCUGAAAUACUCUGAGACAAACAACAUGUGCAGUAAAAAUCUG